GCCCUUGAUGAUAUAAUUCAUGUUUUUGAGGUGCAGAAGAUCUAGGACCCUGUUUUGCAGGGAGAACCUCCUUAGUGAACCUAUAUUUAAAUGAGAUUAGUGAAUUUAACUGAUGA